GACGAACGCUGGCUGUGUGCUUAACACAUGCAAGUCGAACGGAAAGGCCCUGCUUUUGUGGGGUGCUCGAGUGGCGAACGGGUGAGUAACACGUGAGUAACCUGCCCUUGACUUUGGGAUAACUUCAGGAAACUGGGGCUAAUACCGGAUAGGAGCUCCUGCUGCAUGGUGGGGGUUGGAAAGUUUCGGCGGUUGGGGAUGGACUCGCGGCUUAUCAGCUUGUUGGUGGGGUAGUGGCUUACCAAGGCUUUGACGGGUAGCCGGCCUGAGAGGGUGACCGGCCACAUUGGGACUGAGAUACGGCCCAGACUCCUACGGGAGGCAGCAGUGGGGAAUAUUGCACAAUGGGCGGAAGCCUGAUGCAGCAACGCCGCGUGCGGGAUGACGGCCUUCGGGUUGUAAACCGCUUUCGCCUGUGACGAAGCGUGAGUGACGGUAAUGGGUAAAGAAGCACCGGCUAACUACGUGCCAGCAGCCGCGGUGAUACGUAGGGUGCGAGCGUUGUCCGGAUUUAUUGGGCGUAAAGGGCUCGUAGGUGGUUGAUCGCGUCGGAAGUGUAAUCUUGGGGCUUAACCCUGAGCGUGCUUUCGAUACGGGUUGACUUGAGGAAGGUAGGGGAGAAUGGAAUUCCUGGUGGAGCGGUGGAAUGCGCAGAUAUCAGGAGGAACACCAGUGGCGAAGGCGGUUCUCUGGGCCUUUCCUGACGCUGAGGAGCGAAAGCGUGGGGAGCGAACAGGCUUAGAUACCCUGGUAGUCCACGCUGUAAACGGUGGGUACUAGGUGUGGGGUCCAUUCCACGGGUUCCGUGCCGUAGCUAACGCUUUAAGUACCCCGCCUGGGGAGUACGGCCGCAAGGCUAAAACUCAAAGGAAUUGACGGGGCCCCGCACAAGCGGCGGAGCAUGCGGAUUAAUUCGAUGCAACGCGUAGAACCUUACCUGGGUUUGACAUGGAUCGGGAGUGCUCAGAGAUGGGUGUGCCUCUUUUGGGGUCGGUUCACAGGUGGUGCAUGGCUGUCGUCAGCUCGUGUCGUGAGAUGUUGGGUUAAGUCCCGCAACGAGCGCAACCCUUGUUCACUGUUGCCAGCACGUUAUGGUGGGGACUCAGUGGAGACCGCCGGGGUCAACUCGGAGGAAGGUGGGGAUGACGUCAAGUCAUCAUGCCCCUUAUGUCCAGGGCUUCACGCAUGCUACAAUGGCUGGUACAGAGAGUGGCGAGCCUGUGAGGGUGAGCGAAUCUCGGAAAGCCGGUCUCAGUUCGGAUUGGGGUCUGCAACUCGACCUCAUGAAGUCGGAGUCGCUAGUAAUCGCAGAUCAGCAACGCUGCGGUGAAUACGUUCCCGGGGCU
rnacentral:rRNA from 1 species